ACGGAGGCGGCGGCAGUCGCCCUGGCGCUUGUCGGCAGGGAGGAAAGUCCGGACUCCACAGAGCAGGAAGUCCCGCUCACGCGGGAUACCCCGGACCAUAUGCCGGGGGAAGGAAAGCGCCACAGAAAAAAUACCGCCCUGCGCAAGCAGGGUAAGGGUGAAAUGGUGAGGCAAGAGCUCACCGGACGGCCGUGCAAGCGCCGUUGCAAGGCAAGCCCCUUCCGGAGCAAGACCAAAUAGGGGAUGAUGCUGCUGCUCGCAGCGCCGGAAUCCCGGGUACUGGUCGCAUAGACAGAUGAUUGCCACCCGCAAGGGUACAGAAUCCGGCUUAUGCCGCCACCGUCGCU
rnacentral:RNase_P_RNA from 2 species